GCGGGAAUAGCUCAGUGGUAGAGCACGACCUUGCCAAGGUCGGGGUCGCGAGUUCGAAUCUCGUUUCCCGCUCCA
rnacentral:tRNA from 3 species